GCGGACGUGGUGGAAUUGGUAGACACACCAGAUUUAGGUUCUGGCGCCGAGAGGUGUGAGAGUUCGAGUCUCUCCGUCCGCACCA
rnacentral:tRNA from 3 species